rnacentral:rRNA from 1 species
CCUACGGGUGGCAGCAGUGGGGAAUCUUCCGCAAUGGGCGAAAGCCUGACGGAGCAACGCCGCGUGAUCGAAUGAAGGCCCUCGGGUUGUAAAGAUCUGUUGACAGGGACGAAUAUGCAAUGCGAAUAGCUUUGUGUAUGACGGUACCUGUUUAGAAAGCUCCGGCUAACUACGUGCCAGCAGCGGCGGCAAUACGUAGGGAGCAUGCGUUGUCCGGAAUUACUGGGCGUAAAGGGCGCGUAGGUGGGUGCUUAAGUCAGGUGUGAAAACUCCGGGCUCAACCUGGGGACUGCACUUGAAACUGGGUGUCUUGAGGGAAGGAGAGGAAAGCGGAAUGCCUAGGGUAGCGGUGAAAUGCGUAGAUAUUGGGUAGAACACCAGUGGCGAAGGCGGCUUUCUGGACUGUACCUGACGCUGAGGCGCGAAAGCGUGGGUAGCGAACGGGAUUAGAUACCCGAGUAGUC